rnacentral:rRNA from 1 species
UACAGAGACUGCAAGCGUUAUUCGGAUUCACUGGGCGUAAAGGGUGCGCAGGCGGCCAAGUGUGUUAGGCGUGAAAGCCCGGGGCUUAACCCCGGAAUUGCACCUAAAACUACAUGGCUAGAGCAUUGGAGAGGGUAGCGGAAUUCACGGUGUAGCAGUGAAAUGCGUAGAUAUCGUGAGGAAGACCAGUGGCGAAGGCGGAUCUCUGGACAGUUCCUGACACUGAGGCACGAAGGCCAGGGGAGCAAACGGG